UAUUUUGUACAUCUGUUAUUUUCAUUUCACUAACGGGGUCGAUAGAUGCAGUGAGUAGUGAGGCGGAACGUUUGUGUUCGAUUCAAUGGUUCCGGGGUACCGAUUAAAGCGACGGACGUUCCCGGGGUUUCCUCAGAAGUAAUCUGGAAGGAAACUGAACACAACGUGUCCUCAUUACUUCUGUUUCACCUGCACCAUACAGGUUGGUAAACUGUGCAUAAAUCACAAUGAAUCCCCCAUAAGGUUUGCGAAGAUAAUAUGUAACGGCCCGCUAACAGUUAGAAGACUUUGUACCGCUGUUUACAUGUGUAAAACCGUUAAAUGGUGUGAGUGUAUUAGCCUAGCUUCCCCGGUACGGCGCCAUUUUGGGGACAACGUGGUCUGACGCAGUAAGGAUACAAGUUUGUCAGUAUAUCUGAAGCCUCCCGUACACUGA